AUAUUACUCCCUCCGUCCGGAAAUACUUGUCAUUAAAAUAAAUAAAAGGGGAUGUAUCUAAAUGUAUUUUAGUUCUAGAUACAUCCCUCUUUAUCCAUUUUGAUGACAAGUAUUUUCGGACGGAGGGAGUAUAAG
rnacentral:pre_miRNA from 1 species